rnacentral:rRNA from 1 species
GGACACAUCACGUUGAAACACCGGUUCUUGUACGAUCACCGAAGUUAAGCAACGUCGAGCCUGGUCAGUACCUAGAUGGGUGACCGCUUGGUAAUACCAGGUGUUGUAC